GAGUUCCAGGAGGCUCCUGCCUGAUUCCACUGGAAGGCAUCUGAAGGAAAGACUGUCUCCUCUCGAGGCUCUCCCGCAGGCCAUGCCUCUGUCAGUACGGCCCACCCCCAGCUUCUGCCGGCACAGCCUCACUUCUGCAUGAAGGGCUGUGACACUGGAUGGUGUGUCUGAGCUCUGGAAGAGGACACCAGUGUAGACCCAGCCCUGGGCUGAGAACGAAGGGCUGUGAGAGGUCUUUGCAGCAGAAACUGACUUGGAAGCCCCCAGAGGAAGUGCUCACUAGUGCGAUGGGGUGGGGAUGUCUGUGUACCUGGGAAACUCACCAUGUGCCGCUGAAAGGGGAGUGCUACUGAGACUUUUCGCAGAGGUACCUCCAGGGUGCCACUCUAAACCCAACACCUCUCCCCACCAACGACAGAAACUACAGAUAGUAACCCCAUCUUGAACGGUUCCUUUCAUCAUCAUUUGCUGACAUCUCUUUGGCCGAAAGAUUGGGAACCAGGAACCAGAGUGCUCUCAGGAGUCCUCAGAUUUCAGCAUCUGCGAAGAGAGCCUGAUGCCUUGUUUACAGGGUCUAGGUCCAGCAGGAAGAAUAUUGAAUGUCACCCCCUUGAGGGACCCCGAGACUCCAGCACAUUUUGGGACCUCAAGGAGAAGAACCCACUCAAAGAUGCAGGAAUCCCCUCAGUACAUAAUUUCUGAAGCCUCUAUUGAUGUGGCUCUCUGGCCCUGCUACCUGAAAUACCUUUUCAAAGGAGAACAAAAAGGGAUUGUUGACCCCCUGGCCUAAGCUGCAGCCCUCCACAGAGGACCCUCAAGCUCCAGCUCCUCCUCCACGAGAAACAGCCAGCCCAGAGGCCCCACCCCUUGGAUUCCCCAUGUGCCUCCUCCCACAACCAGCAGCACAAGUUAGCACAGGGACUAGUGUUAGGGAGACCAUAUCCCAGGCCCUUGAGGUAGGGACAGCUCUACGUCCUGCUCCAGCAGGAAGACAUUACAGAAGAUGGACCUUCCCCCUUCAACUCCCCAAGAGAUUUUGGGCCCAUAUGGGAUAUGGUCCGUGUGGUCGGGUGGGAACCAUGAAGCUAAGAGUAGAAAAUUUAGGAUGGGGGUGUCACAAGACCGGAAACUAGAGGUGAGCGUAGAAAUAACUAAUAGUUGU